rnacentral:misc_RNA from 1 species
AUUUACGGAUUGAUUCUCGUGCAAUCCCACUCACUUCAUGCCCUCGACUAUCUCCUUCCCUCCCUCGCUCCCUCCAGCUGAUCAUCUCUCCCUCAGAAUAUGAGAAACCCCAACAACAAAUAUUUUUGUCUCCAGAACUCUUCAAUUUUCGCUCUUCUAUUUCUCUCCUUAUUGUUUCACCACACUCUCCUCAUCUCUGGAAACUCACCAUCUCUUCUUAUCGACAACAUAACUCUUGAUUGUGGCUCCGCCCGCGGGGGACAUGAAAGAGAUGGGCGAAUCUGGACUCCAGAUGCCCAUUCCACAUUCUUGCUU